rnacentral:misc_RNA from 1 species
AGACACCUCCUCACCAUCUAUAAAGCAUACCUUUUAAAUUUCAAGUCUCUUACUUCAAAAACAUAGGACUUUCAUACAAACUUUCAACCCCACUUUUAACCCCUUAGGGGUCGAGUUUCAUAAAAUCAGUUCUUAGUAGAUGUCUACGCCCUAUAAGGAACCUACCUGCAAACUUUAAGUUUGUGGCUGUUAUAGUUUCGGAGAUUCCGUGAUGAGUGAGUCAACCUACCAUCACCCGUUUUAACCCCAAAAGGGAGUGGAUUUCUAAAGAUAGAUUAUUUGGACACCUUCUCACCAUUUAUAGAGCAUGCAUUUUAAAUUUAAAGUCUCUUACUUCAAAAACAUAGCACUUUCAUACAAACUUCCAACUCCCGUUUUACCCCCUUAGGGGCCGAGUUUCAUAAAACUCGGUAUUAACGGAUGUCUACGCCCUAUAAGGAACCUACCUGCCAGAUUUCAAGUUUGUGGCUGUUUUAGUUGCGGAGAUUUCAUGAUGAGUGAGUCAACCUACCAUCCCCCGUUUUAACCCCAAAAGGGAGUUGAUUUCUAAAGGCACAUAAUUUAGAUACCUUCUCACCAUCUAUAGAGCAUACAUUUUAAAUUUCAAGUCUCUUACUUCAAAAACAUAGGACUUUCAUACAAACUUCCUACCCCCGUUUUACCCCCUUAGGGGUCGAGUUUCGUCAAAUCCAUUCUUAGCAAUAGAUUACGCCCUAUAAGGAGCCUUCCUGCCAAAUUUCAAGUUUGUAGGUGUUAUAGUUUCGGAGAUUUCGUGAUGAGUGAGUCAACCUACCAU